rnacentral:rRNA from 1 species
AGUGAACGCUGGCGGUAGGCCUAACACAUGCAAGUCGAACGGCAGCACAGUAAGAGCUUGCUCUUACGGGUGGCGAGUGGCGGACGGGUGAGGAAUACAUCGGAAUCUACUUUUUCGUGGGGGAUAACGUAGGGAAACUUACGCUAAUACCGCAUACGACCUACGGGUGAAAGCAGGGGAUCUUCGGACCUUGCGUGAUUGAAUGAACCGAUGUCGGAUUAGCUAGUUGGCGGGGUAAAGGCCCACCAAGGCGACGAUCCGUAGCUGGUCUGAGAGGAUGAUCAGCCACACUGGAACUGAGACACGGUCCAGACUCCUACGGGAGGCAGCAGUGGGGAAUAUUGGACAAUGGGCGCAAGCCUGAUCCAGCCAUACCGCGUGGGUGAAGAAGGCCUUCGGGUUGUAAAGCCCUUUUGUUGGGAAAGAAAAGCAGCAGGUUAAUACCCCGCUGUUCUGACGGUACCCAAAGAAUAAGCACCGGCUAACUUCGUG